rnacentral:rRNA from 1 species
CCUACGGGGUGCAGCAGUAGGGAAUCUUCCACAAUGGGCGAAAGCCUGAUGGAGCAACGCCGCGUGGGUGAAGAAGGUCUUCGGAUCGUAAAACCCUGUUGUUAGAGAAGAAAGUGCGUGAGAGUAACUGUUCACGUUUCGACGGUAUCUAACCAGAAAGCCACGGCUAACUACGUGCCAGCAGCCGCGGUAAUACGUAGGUGGCAAGCGUUAUCCGGAUUUAUUGGGCGUAAAGGGGACGCAGGCGGUCUUUUAAGUCUGAUGUGAAAGCCUUCGGCUUAACCGGAGUAGUGCAUUGGAAACUGGGAGACUAGAGUGCGGAAGAGGAGAGUGGAACUCCAUGUGUAGCGGUGAAAUGCGUAGAUAUAUGGAAGAACACCAGUGGCGAAAGCAGCUCUCUGGUCUGUAACUGACGCUGAGGUUCGAAAGCGUGGGUAGCAAACAGGAUUAGAUACCCUGGUAGUC